UACGAAGGGGGCUAGCGUUGCUCGGAAUCACUGGGCGUAAAGCGCACGUAGGCGGCUUUUUACGUCAGGGGUGAAAUCCUGGAGCUCAACUCCAGAACUGCCUUUGAUACUGAGAAGCUUGAGUCCGGGAGAGGUGAGUGGAACUGCGAGUGUAGAGGUGAAAUUCGUAGAUAUUCGCAAGAACACCAGUGGCGAAGGCGGCUCACUGGCCCGGUACUGACGCUGAGAUGCGAAAGCGUGGGGAGCAAACAGG
rnacentral:rRNA from 1 species